GACGAACGCUGGCGGCGUGCUUAACACAUGCAAGUCGAACGGUAAGGCCCUUCGGGGUACACGAGUGGCGAACGGGUGAGUAACACGUGGGUGAUCUGCCCUGCACUUCGGGAUAAGCCUGGGAAACUGGGUCCAAUACCGGAUAGGACCACUGCCUGCAUGGGUGGUGGUGGAAAGCCUUUGCGGUGUGGGAUGGGCCCGCGGCCUAUCAGCUUGUUGGUGGGGUGAUGGCCUACCAAGGCGACGACGGGUAGCCGGCCUGAGAGGGUGACCGGCCACACUGGGACUGGGAUACGGCCCAGACUCCUACGGGAGGCAGCAGUGGGGAAUAUUGCACAAUGGGCGCAAGCCUGAUGCAGCGACGCCGCGUGAGGGAUGACGGCCUUCGGGUUGUAAACCUCUUCCAGCACCGACGAAGCGCAAGUGACGGUAGGUGCAGAAGAAGGACCGGCCAACUACGUGCCAGCCGCCGCCGUAA
rnacentral:rRNA from 1 species